GGCGACCCCAGGUCAGGCGGG
rnacentral:rRNA from 1 species